rnacentral:rRNA from 1 species
CCUACGGGAGGCAGCAGUGGGGAAUAUUGGACAAUGGGGGGAACCCUGAUCCAGCCAUGCCGCGUGUGUGAAGAAGGCCCUCGGGUUGUAAAGCACUUUCAGUGAGGAAGAACGCCUGGUGGUUAAUACCCAUCAGGAAAGACAUCACUCACAGAAGAAGCACCGGCUAACUCCGUGCCAGCAGCCGCGGUAAUACGGAGGGUGCGAGCGUUAAUCGGAAUUACUGGGCGUAAAGCGCGCGUAGGUGGCUUGAUAAGCCGGUUGUGAAAGCCCCGGGCUCAACCUGGGAACGGCAUCCGGAACUGUCAAGCUAGAGUGCAGGAGAGGAAGGUAGAAUUCCCGGUGUAGAGGUGAAAUGCGUAGAGAUCGGGAGGAAUACCAGUGGCGAAGGCGGCCUUCUGGACUGACACUGACACUGAGGUGCGAAAGCGUGGGUAGCAAACAGGAUUAGAUACCCCAGUAGUC